AGGAAGCUAAGCGAGCGGGUCUCGCCAUUCCAGAGUUUUCUGGCUUGCCUAGCAUAGCUACUACGUGCCUGGCUGGCUUAGAGAAGAAGGGGGAGUAGCCCCCCACAACCCGCCCCUCACCACCGCACACACUGGAGGCUGGAGGCUGGAGCCUGCAGUCUCAUGGCUCGCCUCGCUGUUACGGCUUUUCUGGCUUUGCCCACCCAGCUGCUCCAUGCCAGGAGAAAGAAGAGCCAUCUGCUAUAUGCUGGAGGCUGGAGCCUGUGGCCCCAUGGCUUGCCUCAUUGCGGCUGGUGGCAAUGAUGGAGACUGCAGAGCUCCAGCAAGACAGGUUAGCAGUUCUCACCAGAGCCCUCUGCAGUGGAAUUCAGGAUUGAAUCAAAUUCACCGUCGGUUGUAUGAUCCCAGCAGUUAUCAGCCCUUGUAGAAUGCUACAACAACAAUCAAGGUUACAGUGGACCUUUAUGGGAAAGCAUUUUUUUCCCUCUCUUCUCAGGACUCUAAGGCUAUGUGAGGUGAGGAUUCCAGGUCCUUUAUGAGAGUUUGUUGGAAACAAACUGUCCCUUGCAACAGUGGGGGAGUUUGACCUUUGCCGUUGCUCUACAUUUCAGACUAAUUACCUGCUCCGUGGGCAGGCUGGACAAUAAGUCCACCAGGCAUGGCGUCUGAGUUCUGGCAGCUUGAAAGUGAGGCUUCAGCAUCAAGAAUAGUAGAGGGUCUCUUCUGGCAAUGGUUUAACACCUUCCUGACUCAAGAAGGAAUCCUGAGGGGUACUGUUCAAUGGGAUUUAAAGAGUCAGCACUGGAUUUAGAAUCCAGAAGAGAUGGAAAGUUUGGGGUCCCUUUCUACAUGAAUGCUCUGUUGGCUCACACUUUCAUUCAUUCACUUAUGCAGUGCUGCCUGAUCCCCUGUCCUCUAUAAGACAUUGUGCUGAAUAUAAGGAAGCAGAUAAUAUGAUUCAGAAAAAAGUUUCUCAAUAUUUAGCAUAUACAAAGUUCUCCUGGGAAGACUGUUAACAAGGCAGAUUUCUGUCACAAAUACUAAAGAUUUUAAUUUGGAAAAUCUGGAGUGAGGUCUCAUGUCUACAUCUUUUACAGGCAGCUUUGUAAUCCUUAUAGAAGUGGCUCUUGACUGACAUGAUGGGAGACACUAGCUUAGUGGGGAGAAGUACAGGCAUGCGAUCUUAUAGAUACAGAGUCAUCUCAGUCAUAGCCUCUAAAAUAAGCUCUCCUCAGUUGGAAGCCUAGUUCCACCUCUUAUUAGCUGUUUGAAUUAGUUAAGAUAAUGCCAGCUGCUGUAUGAACUCCCCAGUUUCAAUGCCUGAAUACCUUUGUUGUGCUUCUAGGUGGAUGUUCCUGGUUGAUUGGUAUAGUCAGAAAGACUCAAGAGUCUUUAUUUUCCGUGGCCUCCCUAGAGUUCUCUGCAUCCAGAUAGCAGACAAAAGCAGAUAGUAGGGAAAAGCACACCUGAUUAUUAAAUACCUUCACUUGGAAUGGACACAUAUCACUUCCACUUGGAUUCUAUUCCUGAGAACUAGUCACAGGUUCUACCUGGAUGCAAGGUGGCUGGGGAAUAGUCAUGUUGGGUCCUGCUUCCAUGCAACCACUCUGUAUUAUGGCAAUAAAACAGUAAAUUUUGGCCGACAAUAGCCAUCUCUGCCACAUUGUGUAAACUUAGCUGAGUUUCUAAAUCUCACUGUCCUUAUCUGUUAAGUGAAGCUAACAGUACCUAACUCAUCAGGUUGAUAAAAGGAUCAUAUGAGCACAUAAAUAUAAUACUAUAUGUACAGUGCCUGGCACACAGUAGGCAGCCAGUACAUUUUAGCUGUUAUUUAUGAAUUCUGUCCCAAUGAGAUAAUGGCAUGUACAGACAACAAGGUAGUCAGAUGUCAGUACCCCGAGAACAGAGAAGCUAGAGUGUAUGGGGAUUUGGAAGAGGGAAGAGACCACGUGAAAAUGUUGCGAUCAGAGAAGACUUCAAAGAAUUGAUCUGUGAACUGGGUUUUGGAGGAUGAAUAGGAUUUGUGCAUGUAAAGUAUGAGAUCAGGGCAUUCCAGGCAAAAACAAUAGUAUGCAAAUAGGCAUGGCAGAGAGAAAGGACAAAAAAUGUGCAGUGGACAUUUAAUAUGGUUGCAGUAAAUAGGUGAGUGAUCGUGCCUUAAAUAUCAGACAAAUGAAGUAUUCAAGAAGUUCAUUAAGAAGCUAUGAGGCCCAGUGGGUUGGCUUAUGCCUGUAAUCCCAGUACUUUGGGAGGCCAAAGUGGGCAGGGAUUACCAGACCACCCAAGUCAGUAUGAUGAAAUCCCAUCUCUACUAAAUACAGAAAAAUUAGCUGGACUUGGUGGUGGGUGCCUGUAAUCCCAGCUGCUUGGGAGGCAGAAGAAGGAGAAUUGCUUGAACCCGGGAGGCAGAGGCUGCAGUGAGCUAAGAGUGUACCACUCCACUCCAGCCUGGGUGACAGAGUGAGACUCCAUCUCAAAAAAAAAGAAAAGUAGUUGGUGUUACAGCUCUCUUAGAAUUUGUCUAGCAGGCUUUCUGGUUUUUGCUGGAAAACCCCCCCACCAAAAAAAAAAAAAGUUAUGAUAAGGCCAGUUGCAAUGUCUAACAGCUGUAAUACCAGCACUUUGAGAGGCUAAGUAGGGAAGGAUCACUUGAGGCCAGAAGUUCAAGACCAGCCUGGGCAACACUGUGAGAUCCUGGUUACGAUGGUAAAUUUCAUGUUAUAUGGUUUUUCUUCAAUCAUUAUUCCUAUUAUAAGGAAUAAUACAAUACAUUAUUUAAAGAAUACCAUUAUCAGUAUAGUUGAAGUCCCCUAUAUAUCCCUGCAAACUAUAUAUCCUAUUCAUUUCCCUCCCACAGUCAACCACCAGCCUGAACCUGGUAUUUAUCAUUCCUAUGCAUUUUGUUUCAUUUUACUACUUCAUAUGUAUGCAUUCAUGGGCAAUAUAAUACUAUAGUGGAUAUUCAAUCAUUUUGUAUAAUGGUGUCAUAUGAAUGUAUUGUUGUGCCCCCAACUUUUUGUCCCACAUUAUGUUUGGGAGACUAUUCUGUGCUAACAUACCUCUACUUCAGUGGUUCUCAAACUUUAGUGUGCACUAAAAUUGCCUGGAGGGCUUAGUAAUACACAGAUUACUGAGCUCAACCCCCAGAGUUUCUGCAGUUGGGCUAAGCUAGGACCUGAAAAUUAACAUUUCUCGUAAGUUUCCAUAUGAUACCAGUGCUGUUAGUCCUGGAGAACUACUGCUUAUUAAUUUUUUUGCUGUUAGAUAUUAACUAUCCCAAUUUAUGUAUUCAUUCUACCAUUGAUAGAUAUCUAGGUUGCUUCCAGAUUGUUUUGUAUGAUGCUACGAAUAUUGUGUACAUGUGGGACAGUUUCACUUGCAUAGAAAAGGCUGUCCAACUCUAUCCAUCCUUGUUGAAUAGCUUCUUUGCACACCAGCCUUUGUUCAAGAGUCCUCAUUGUUCCACAUUCCCGUCUGCCCUAAGUACUGUCAGAAGUUUUAACUUUUGCCAAUCUUAGAGGGUGAAAUGCUUAUUGUCGUUCUCAUCUACGUUUUCCUGUUAGUGAGAUUGAGCACCUGCAGCAAGUGCUCCAUUUUUUCUUGCCUUACCUGAGUUUCCCUCUAGCUCUCACAUGUCUCCAAGCACUCUGCUGGCUUCCCACUGUAGUCUCCUGCAUCUAUCUUUCUUCUUUUCUGCCUGAGGGCUUUACCCAGGAGAUGGGAUGACUCCUCUGUUGUGACAGUGUGGGGUCAUGUGCCACAUGGUAUCUCAGAGAGUAUCACUGGGGCUUUACCCUGUUACCCUCUGUGGUAAAAUGAUCAUUGAUUCUUGGUUUUGUUUCACUUUUUUACAAUCCUCGUCUUACUCUUCCCACUUUCUUGUGAUCCUUGGAGUCACCUUUCAAGUAAACUACUUGCACAAAAGUCUUGUUUCAUGGUGUACUUUUGGGGGAACCCAAACUAAGAGCAUCAUUUUAUGUUCAUAGGAUGUUUAUUUAUUUGUUUGAAUAGCAGGUUGUUUCUAUUUUUGCUCAUUUUCCUGUUGGCAUGCUUGUCUUUCACUUUUUAAUUUGUAAGUUAUAGUAUAUACUGAAUAUUGACCUUCAUUAUUUAUGUAGAGAGAGAAUAUUUUAUCCCAGUUUGUAAUUAUCUUUUUACUUUUCAGUGGUGUCCUUGAUGUGUAGAAAUUUCAAAUGCAGCGUAGGAGAAACUAUCAACAAUCUCCUUUAUGAUCUGUGUGCUUCUGUUUUUCCUUAAGACAUCCUUGUCGAAGUCAUAGAAAUAUUCUUCAUCGGUUUAAGGCUGGGUGCACUGGCUGGCUCACUCCUGUAAUCCUAGCAGUUUGGGAGGCCAAGGCAGGCGGAUCAUAUGAGGUCAGGAGUUCCAGACCAGCCUGGCCAACAUGAUGAAAACCUGUCUUAACUAAAAAUACAAAAAUUAGUCAGGCAUGGUGGCACAUGCCUGUAAUCCCAGCACUUCAGAGGCUGAAGGAGGAGAAUCACUUGAAUUUGGGAGGCUGGGGUUGCAGUGAGCCAAGAUUAUGCCACUUCACUCCAUCCUGAGCGAAAGAGCAAAACUCUCAAAAACAAAAACCAAAAAAAACCAAAAAAACUUUAUCUGUUUCUAAAAUUGAGGUCUAUAAUUCAUGUGAAAUUGGUAUUUAUUUGGUGGAAGGAAUGGUGCCCCGCCUCCACACACAAAAAAAAUCUCAACAUCUUAACUCCCAAAAUGUGUAAAUGUGACCUUUGGAGAAAAGGUCUUUGCAGUGUAAUUAAGGACCUCCAGAUGACAUAAUCCUAGAUUAUUUAGGUAAGCUCUCAAUCCGAUAGCAAGUGACAUUUUGAGUCAGAAGUGGGAGAUGCACACACAGGAGAAGACCAUGUGAAGACAGAGGCAGAAACUGGAAUGACACAGCCACAAGCCAAGGAACCCUAGAACCACCAGAAACUGGAAUAGGCAAGGAAUAGCACCUUCAAGGGGGCGAGUGUGGUGUUUCCCAUACUUUGGUUUUAGAAUUUUGGCCUCCAGACUGCUAUAGAAUAAACCUGUUGGUUUUGCCACUUGAUUUUUGGCUGUUAGUUACUGCAGCCCUAGGUACCUCAUUCACAACUAGAGGGGCCUCCAUCUGACUAAUGUUUCUGGACUUUUUACCCAGAGGAGGCAACAUGACUUAAACUACAGAGUUUCAACCCCCCACCCCCCAAGUCUCCAUUAAUUGGGGUCUGCCUACCUGCACACCUUUUCUCACCUGCUCACUUACAUGUUGCAAAGGGCCUGCCCCUAUUAGGGAGGGGUGUGAAUGUGAAGAAGUUGUGACGGUGUCUGGAUAAAUGCUUUAUUCAGGGUUGGUUGGCAAGAUUGCUUUCCAACAGGCUGACCCACUUUACUCUAGUUCAUUUGUAAUAAUGGUGAUAUUUUCAUCUCUAUCUGCCUGAUUCUUUGGCCUAUCUCUCAGGUGGAGAAAGUAGACUGCUAUUUGUUCGCUUCCUAAAGCCUCGAAAUAAAUCAAAGGGGCAAGGCAGAGGCUUGAGCAGAAAAUGAGCCAAGAAUUUGAUGGUAGGCAAUAUCCAGAUUAAAAAGAGAUGCCUUAUGUAGUGCCACUUGGGCAUUUCAGGAAUUGGCCUGUGCAUUUGCUAACGGCACCUCUUCUUCAAGAUACUUUACUUUCAUCUACUACAAAAUGGUUAUAGUAGGCUGCUUGGGAUAGAACCAGAGUGUUUACUGUUAUCUUCCUGGAAUUGCCACAGUUCAGGUGCAGACAAUGCCUAAGAUGAGAAAGACGCCGUCCAGGGUUGUGUGGUGCCCAGUCUGUCCUAUGGUCAGUAAGUAAUGGUUCUUAUACCAUAUUAAGGAAAAAGAUGAUACCCAUAUGCCACAUCUCUCCCUCCCUCCUUCAGUAGAAGCAUCCCUCAUUCAAUUCAGCCCCUCAGAGGUCAUUUGCUGGAUUAGACUUGCAUAUCUGUGACUCGGUUUGGACUCCAGGAAACUUAUUUGUUAUAUACUUACCUAAAAAUGUCAAGUUCUGCAUGGACCGGCCUUUGACAUUAUCUUACUUUAGGUCUGGUACCAGACCCUUCCUCUCAGAGCUACAAAGCACCUGGCCCUGCAGCUCAUUUUUGCUGUACACCAGUCAGUCGAUCCCAAAACAAUUCACAGAUGCUCAUCCAGCCCUGCCAUUGGUCGGCAUCUGUGUAUGCUCACAGCCACCUCUGCUCUCCCAGCUCUGCAACAGCCUAGGAUAGUAAGGGGCACAUAGAAAGUGCUCAAAAGUGCUGAGUGAACAGAUAGAUGAGUAAGUGUUCUGUAUGUGUAAACAGCAUAGCUUCCUCCCUGAGUCACAUUUGCCUGCACGGUAUUCAUCAUAGAUUGCCUUUGUAACUUUUUCCAUACCCAUAUUCUGCCAGCGCUAUUAUCUCCUUUACAUUGACUCACUUGUUUUCCUUAAAUGAUUUGAGUUAAAAACCCAAGGGGAAGCUCUAUAUUCUAAAUGAAAAUUGGUGUCUUUCUACUACAGUAAAGCCUUCAGUCCGCAUACCACAGCAAACCAUAUCAUGUAUUACCUGUUGUGCACAUAUCACACUUUGAGAAGUGUGGGCCUAGCACUUGGGUCUACCGUGACCUGAACCAAGAUCCAACAAGCUCCCUGGAGCCAGCGGAAUAGUGCAUCUGAUCCCAACCUGCAGGCCUUGUCAAAGGCAGCACAGAGUGUCGCACUUGUUAGCAGCAGGACAAAAAGAGCUGGUGUCUGGAAGAACAAGGAGAGGUAGGCCACAGGCUCACAGGCUGUCAGCCCCUGUCAGAAGAAGACAGAGCCAGGCCUGUCAGCCAGAGGAAGUGAAUCAGAACAAUUAUUCAAAGUCAUUUGUUUGCAGGGCAAGGGAGAAGAGAUUUAUUUUUCUUCUUUUGCAGGAAAUGCUUAUGUGAGCACAGACCCUGCUGGGUAGGCAAGCACCUGCCAGGUCACUGGCCGGAAACCCAGGUAAUUCUAUACUCCACAUUUUCUGGAUGAAGGUCCCUCUGGCAUAGGCUGUCAGGGCUGUCAAAUGGCUCAUUGAGAAAGCCUCUGCUCAGCAUGCCAACAGAAGACACUGCUUUUCCACAUCUACUCCAAUGUCAGGGAAGAGGUGUCCCUGGGUGCUACAGCCUUGGGCAUGAUAGAGAGAGACCAACCAGGAGAGGCAGGGUAGGAUAGUCUGCUUGGCAAAGUGGUUGAGGCUGUUCUGGACCUGGGCGCAGGGCGCAAGGAAGCCACCACUAGUUCUGGGUGCCUUGGGAGGACCUUAGUUCACAAAGGAUAAAAGAAAUAAGGGGCUUAAUGAUUGAGCAUCUGCAAUGUGCUGGGCACUGUGCUAGCUGCUUUAAGAAUAAACAUUGGAUGCCUAUCUUCUACAGAUUUUCACAGUUAAGUAUUUUUAAAUAAUCAAAUAAUAUACGAAUAUAAGCACUCAUCUUACAGCUUGCUGGGAAGCUAAGGCAUUUUCUAGUUAUUUCUCUUUUCUUUUUAUUUUCUGUAUUUUUCUUUUAUUUACUUUUAUCUUAGGUUCAGGGGUACAUGUGAAGUUUGUUAUAUAGGUAAACUCGUGUCAUGGGGGUUUGGUGUACAGAUUAUUUUAUCACCCAGGUACUAAGCAUAGUACCCAAGAGUUAUUUUUUCUGACCUUUACCCUCCACCCUCAACUAUGCCCCAGUGUUUGUUGUUCCCCUCUUUGUUUCUAUGUGUUCUCAUUAUUUAGCUCUCCCUUACAAGUGAUAACGUGGUAUUUUGUUUUUUGUUCCUGCAUUAGUUUGCUUAGGAUAAUGGCCUCUGGCUUCAUCUGUGUUCCUGCAAAGGACAUGAUCUUAUUCUUUUUUAUGGCUGCAUAGUAUUCCAUGGUGUAUUUAUACCACAUUUUCUUUAUCCAGUCUACCAUUGAUGGCCACCUGUGCUGCAUAAACAUUUGUGUGCAUGAGUCUUUAUAGUAGAACUAUUUACAUUCCUUUGAGUAUAUACCCAGUGAUGAGAUUGCUGGGUUGAAUGCUAGUUCUGUUUUUAGUUCUUUGAGGAAUUGCCACACUAGCAUUCUGAGAAUUUCCAAAGACUACUUUAUGUUUCAAAAAUCGCUUUGCUGCUUGUCAUCUCUUCUGUUGGGUAGCUUCUCUGAGCUUAAGUCCAUUCACCAUGGUUGCUUUAAAAUCAUGUCUCUGCAUUGUCAGCAGUCUCUCAGGGCCACUUUGCACAUUGCUAUACCUAUUUCUCCACCAUGGUAGAGAAAUGAAGUUCUUCUUGACAUCCCAACACACAGCAAACACAAGGUCUUCAGGUUGGAUGUAUUUUGCCAAAUUGCAAAAAUAAAAUGAGGACACUAAACUGUGACUGGAUGGUCACAGAUUGUUGCUUCUAAGACACAUCCACCCUGUCCCUUCCCAGGAGGCCACUCCUGUCAUAGUGAUCCAAAGCCACUGACCUCAGGCCAUGAGGCGCGCAGCCUCAUUCAUCCAGACAAGAAACCUCCUUUUAAAGUCCUACAAUUACAAUUCCAGCCCCUUCACAUUCUCUGGGCCUCACAAAAGGAAGCAACAAAAUAAAAACUUAACAAAAAUAUGUCACUAGAGAUGCACCCACCUAUGAUGAAGAUAGCCUUUAAAUUAUUAAGUAGUGGUUUUAAAUAAGUGUGCAAAGCAUAUGCAUUUGAAACUCACCAUUCAUCUUUUUUUUUGAGAUGAAGUUUCACUCUCAUUGCCCAGGCUGGAGUGCAAUGGUGUAUUCUUGGCUCACUAUAACCUCCGCCUCCUGGGUUCAAGUGAUUCUCCUGCCUCAGCCUCCUGAGUAGCUGGGAUUACAGGCAUGUAACACCAUGUCUAGCUCAUUUUUUAUUUUUAGUAGAGAUGUGGUUUCUCCAUGUUAUUCACGCUGGUCUUAAACUCCUGACCUCAGGUCAUCCACCCACCUCAUUUAUCUUUAACUCCGAGUGACUAUAUUAUUUAUUCAUUUAACAGGCCCUUACAUAAACACCUAUUAAGUGCCAGCUACCAAAUAUUAGCUCAUUUAAUCCUAAUAGCAGCCUUAUGAGAUAGCAUCUACUUUUAUGCUCAUUUGACAGACAAGGACACUGAGGCACAGAGAGCCUUGCCCAAAGUCAUACAGCCAGCUGGUAGCAGAUUAAGGUUUACAGCAGGUCAUUUGGCUCUGUGGUCAGUGCUCCUAUUAGACUAUGCCGUUCUGCAGUGGUUCCCUUCUGCACAGAGGAAGAGCCAGUCCCAAGGAUAACCCCAAGCUUAAAUUGUAAGGCGUUAGAGAAGAAAUGAUGUGUCCACUCUUUCUAUGAUUUAGGGGUUCAGAAGUAUUAUGACUCAGACACAGAACUCCGUCCCCCAGUUACAUUAUCCAAAUUAGUCUUCAACACAGCCCAGCUAGUUUAUCUCUCCAUUGUUCAUACUACAAGUGGAGAAACUGAGGUACAGGAAGCAUUGAAGCUUAGAUUUGACCCCAAACCUUCUUUUAAAAAUGUGCUCUUUGCACUGUACAGAACAUUGUAUGUACAGGAUGCCACCAAUGAUCAUUUUUAAAUUUGUCUUAUUUCACGUUUUCUAUUUGCAAUUCUAAAGCUGGUUUUAACAGAAAAACUUUCCACAAAGCUUAGCUGCAUCAGUAGUGUGCUUGGAGCUAUGUAUGGGGGAAAAGAAGACAAUUUGUCAUGGUUCUAAUUAAAACUGUAAACCUUUGGGCUGAGCACAUUCCUAUGCAACUUACUUUAAGUAAUUCUUGCCUGUAGGUUUUCUUGUUCAUCCAUCAUCUAUUUGCUGACAGUCAGCAAGGAUCUAUUUUAAAUGCAUUCUUCCCCAAAGAUAGUGAUGAUGAUGAUAAUGAUGAUGAUGAUGACCAUAGUAAUGAUAUAAUUUUAACAUAUUUCUAUUCAUUCAACAUAUAUUUAUUUACGUGCUCACUUAAAGAAGUAUCAGACGGUAGCAUUAGAAUGCCAGAUUUGAAUGUUAACUCUACCACUUGUGUGACCAUGAGCAAGUGAUGUAUUCUCUCUGUGCUUCA